rnacentral:misc_RNA from 1 species
GAUGAAGAACGUAGCGAAAUGCGAUACGUAAUGUGAAUUGCAAAUUCAGUGAAUCAUCGAGUCUUUGAACGCACAUUGCGCCCCCUGGUAUUCCGGGGGGCAUGCCUGUCCGAGCGUCAUUGCUGCCCUCAAGCACGGCUUGUGUGUUGGGCCCCGUCCUCCGAUCCCGGGGGACGGGCCCGAAAGGCAGCGGCGGCACCGCGUCCGGUCCUCGAGCGUAUGGGGCUUUGUCACCCGCUCUGUAGGCCCGGCCGGCGCUUGCCGAUCAACCCAAAUUUUUUAUCCAGGUUGACCUCGGAUCAGGUAGGGAUACCCGCUGAACUUAAGCAUAUCAAUAAGCGGUGGA